rnacentral:lncRNA from 1 species
AUAGAAUCUUUUUCUUUUCCUUCUUUAAGUAUUUUUCUAGCUCUUUUGUCAUAAUUCCUUCUAGAUUCAUAUUGAUAACUUGAUUCUUUUCUAUCUAAAACCUUUUGAUGCUUAUAUUGAUUUCUAAAAGUCACUCUAAAACUUGAUCAAGAAAUUUUUAUUUGUAAAGUAUCAAGACUAAUUUCAAAGACCUUUUCCUUUUUUGACUAUUCUUCUAGG